rnacentral:lncRNA from 1 species
UGGCCAUGGUGUUGGUGGAGGACUUGGUGGUGGGUUCGGCAAAGGAGGUGGACUUGGUGGCGGUGUUGGUCAUGGUAUCGGUGGCGGCCUUGGUGGCGGAAUUGGCCAUGGUGUAGGCGGAGGUCUUGGUGGUGGGAUUGGCAAAGGAGGUGGACUUGGCGGCGGUGUUGGUCACGGUAUCGGUGGUGGAUUUGGGAAAGGAGGUGGACUUGGUGGCGGUAUUGGUAAAGGUGGCGGUCUCGGUGGCGGAAUUGGCCAUGAUAUGGGUGGAGGUCUUGGUGGUGGGUUCGGUAAAGGUGGUGGACUUGGCGGCGGUGGAUUUGGGAAGGGAGGUGGACUUGGUGGCGGUAUUGGUAAAGGUGGCGAUCUUGGUGGUGGAAUUGGCCAAGGAAUUGGCGGCGGUUUUGGUAAAGGUGGAGGUCUUGGCGGUGGCAUUGGCAAAGGUGGAGGACUUGGUGGUGGCAUUGGCCAUGGCAUCGGUGGCGGAUUGGGCAAAGGCGGAGGCAUUGGUCAUGAUAUUGGAGGUGGCUUCGGCAAGGGCGGCGGCCUCGGUGGCGGCUUCGGCAAGGGCGGCGGCCUCGGGGGUGGUGGAGGAGGUGGGUUCGGUGGUGGCAGCGGCUCCGGUGGAGGUUUCGGCAAGGGCGGUGGGUUUGGUUUCGGGUUUGGCAAAGGUGGAGGACUCGGUGAUGGUGGCAGCGGGGGCAUUGGUGGUGGCCACUGAUGUGUAUCCGUUCGGUCGUUCCGGCUCUGUCUGUAUGUGAUAUGUUUGCCAUCAUAAUAUUCUGUUUCGAUAAGAGCAGUAGGUACCAGGGAGAA